AUCCCUCCCAAGAUUCAUUGCGCAUUCAAUCCAAAAAAUAAAACAACAAUGGCGGAGAAUGUGGAUUUGACUUUUUCAUUUAAAUGGAGCAAGGAGCAUACUGCUCAAUUUAUCAAACUCAGGGGGGAGAACGACGAGCUCUUCACCGGGGUGAAACAUUCGGCGAGUGUGGCUUGGGGGACAAUUCUGGAGAAAAUAGGCCUGCAGGGGAAUGUGACUCCCCUGCAGGCAAAGAAAAAAUGGGAUAAUUAAAAAAAAAUAUAUAAAGUAUGUACAGGUUAUUUUAUACAUUAUUUGUUUUAACCAUGCAAGUUAAUAAACACUUUUGCUGAAAUUUGUUUCGAUACUGCUGUUGUUGUUAACUGCCAUGAUUGAUUUCCUCUGCCUUAGGAUUGCAAGUAUCCAGGGUCAGGAGAGGGUGUAGGUGGGAAACCCACUGCUGCCACUUGGCCCUGGUUUGUCCUCAUGGAUGAGGUAUUGGGACAGAGGCAUUCCAUCAACCCCCCUGUCCUAAUUGCCUCCAUCCCUGAGGACACACCAGGGCCAAGUACGGCAGUGGUGGAUUUGGAGGUGGAGGAGAAGGAUGAGGAGGAGAGCAGGUCCAGGAGGAGGUCCAGAAAGAGGGAC